GCAAUUUUUGAGAAUGUUUUUGCCUUUUGACGUGGCUCUUUCAUUGUACAAAAUUGCAAUAGCAUUUGGGUUUUUUGCUUGCCUCGUUGUUUUGAAAAUACAAUAAACAAUGAAGGCCAAUGAAAGCCUGAACACU
rnacentral:snoRNA from 1 species